rnacentral:rRNA from 1 species
AGUUUGAUCCUGGCUCGAAUGAACGCUGGCGGCAGGCCUAACACAUGCAAGUCGAACGGAGUUAUAUUGUAGCUUGCUAUGGUAUAACUUAGUGGCAGACGGGUGAGUAAUGUAUAGGAAUCUACCUAGUAGUACGGAAUAAUUGUUGGAAACGGCAACUAAUACCGUAUACGCCCUACGGGGGAAAAAUUUAUUGCUAUUAGAUGAGCCUAUAUUAGAUUAGCUAGUUGGUGGAGUAAUAGCCUACCAAGGCAAUGAUCUAUAGCUGAUCUGAGAGGAUGAUCAGCCACACUGGAACUGAGAUACGGUCCAGACUCCUACGGGAGGCAGCAGUGGGGAAUAUUGGACAAUGGGCGAAAGCCUGAUCCAGCCAUGCCGCAUGAGUGAAGAAGGCCUUUGGGUUGUAAAGCUCUUUUAGUGAGGAAGAUAAUGACGGUACUCACAGAAGAAGUCCUGGCUAACUCCGUGCCAGCAGCCGCGGUAAUACGGAGAGGGCUAGCGUUAUUCGGAAUUAUUGGGCGUAAAGGGCGCGUAGGCGGAUUAGUAAGUUAAAAGUGAAAUCCCAAGGCUCAACCUUGGAAUUGCUUUUAAAACUGCUAAUCUAGAGAUUGAAAGAGGAUAGAGGAAUUCCUAGUGUAGAGGUGAAAUUCGUAAAUAUUAGGAGGAACACCAGUGGCGAAGGCGUCUAUCUGGUUCAAAUCUGACGCUGAGGCGCGAAGGCGUGGGGAGCAAACAGGAUUAGAUACCCUGGUAGUCCACGCUGUAAACGAUGAAUGUUAAAUAUGGGAAGUUUUACUUUCUGUAUUACAGCUAACGCGUUAAACAUUCCGCCUGGGGACUACGGUCGCAAGAUUAAAAC